UGUCUCCCCUCCAUGCUGUUAAUCAGCUGCUUUUUCUACUGCCUGUUUUGAGUUGGGAUCAUCAUCAUGCCAGCUGAAUGCAAAGCACUUAUUCAUAUAAUAUCGCAAGUGUUAUUUUCAAUUUUGUUCUUCAGAUCUCCCAGCAAUCCAUAUGCCUUUUGAAUCACCAGUGUGAAGUAAGCAGAGGUUUUUCACAGAUGGACAAGUGUGCACAAUUAAUUGAGAACCUAGCAAACGGUAACUUUACCAUUGCCUCCAGUAUU
rnacentral:lncRNA from 1 species